CGUUGUAGUCCAAUUGGACUACAACUCCCUUGUCUCCCAGAUGUGCGGCCGUCAAGUAGUGUAGUGUGCUGAAUUUGGUUUUAAACGCCAGGAGUGAGCGGGAGUGUGUGACUGGACUGGAUUCAACCGGCACAGCGGUGUUCAGGUGUCUCGAUGGCGACAGACAUUGUUGCGCAGUUGGCCGACUCUCUGGCCAAGACUGGAGUAGAGGACGGAGAGCUGAGCUACAAAGGCCAGGGGAGAAAGCUGGACGAUGCCAAAUCAGUGGCGGAGAUGGUUAAGGAAAUCCAGGACUUUGAGGACUUACAGGCUCUGAGGUUGGAGGGAAACACUGUGGGUGUGGAGGCAGCACAGGCCAUUGCCAAGGCCCUGGAGACAAAGAGCAAGUUCAAGCGCUGUUACUGGAGUGACAUGUUCACAGGUCGUCUGCGCUCUGAAAUCCCACCUGCCCUGAAUUCACUGGGUGACGCUCUGAUGCUGGCGGGCGCUAGGCUGACUGUUUUAGACCUCAGUGACAACGCCUUUGGACCAGAUGGGGUGAAAGGCAUCGAGAAGCUGCUCAAGAGCACCGCCUGCUACACACUGCAGGAGCUACGGCUCAACAACUGUGGCAUGGGCAUCGGAGGGGGGAAGAUCUUGGCUGCUUCAUUGAGCCAGUGCCACAAAAAAUCCAGUGCAGAGGGCGCCCCUCUCGGCCUGAAGGUGUUUGUUGCAGGGAGGAACCGCCUGGAGAACGAUGGAGCCACUGCCCUUGCUCAGGCCUUCCAGUUGAUGGGCAGCCUGGAGGAGGUUCACAUGCCCCAGAAUGGCAUCAAUCACCCUGGUGUGACAGCUCUGGCCACGGCCAUGCAGCACAACGCAGGCCUCCGCAUCCUCAACCUCAACGACAACACCUUCACUGAGAAGGGGGCUAUCGCCAUGGCUCAGGCCCUGAAACACCUACGCAGCAUCCAGGUGAUAAACUUUGGAGACUGUUUGGUGCGGCCGGCUGGAGCCAUAGCUAUUGCAGAGACUGUAUCAGAGGGACUCCCAAUCCUCAAGGAGCUCAAUCUGUCAUUUGGCGAGAUUACGGAGGAAGCCGCUCUGGCUGUGGCACAAGCAGUAAAGGACAAGGACCAGCUGGAGAAACUGGACCUAAAUGGAAACUGUCUCGGAGAGGACGGCUGCAAAGCUCUGAAAGACACCAUGGAAAGCAUGAACAUUGGAGAUCUUUUAGGAUCACUCAGUGACGAUGAGGGUGAGCCGGAGGAUGAUGACGAGGAUGAAGAUGAGGACGAGGAAGAGGACGAAGAUGACGAGGAUGUGGAUGAGGAGGAAAUAGAGGAGGAAGAGGAAGAAGAGGAGGAAGAGGAAAGCAAUGGCAUCAAGCUGUCGACCCCCACAUCAGCACCCCGGCCCCCAGACGUCUCCUCGUUCCUCAGCUUCCCGUCCCCAGACAAACUGCUAAAAUUGGGAACUAAGAGAGCGAUGCUGAUUGAGCAGCAGGUGGACGUGUCAGAUGCUACAAAAACAGCUGAAGCCUUCCUCAAGAUUGCGUCUGUCUACAAGGAGGAGAAUAAUGAUGUGAAGACUGCAGUGUUGGACAGCGUUGACACUCUGCUGAAGAAAGCUUUUGCCACUCCUUCCUUCCAAGGCUACAGCUUUGUAUCAUCUUUGUUAGUGCUGCUCGGACUUCUCAAGAGUGAAGACAAGGUGAAGCCUGUACUGGUGGUUCCCGGUCACCUCCACACCUUGGAGCAUGUUGUUCGACAGGACUACUUCCCCAAAGAGAGCGUGGCUGUGCUGGAGGCCUUCAUGUCCCGGUAAGGGCGUGACUGAGUGAGCCAAACAGCAGGCAGCUUUCAGCUGAGUCGCAGGGGCAGCAGGCCAAGCAAAGCACCCCCAACGUCCCUCUCCCCAGCAACGCUUUCCAGCUCCUCCUGAGGGACCCCAAGGCGUUCCCAGGCCAGAUGAGAUAUGUAAUCCCUCCAGCGUGUUCUGGGUCUUCCCCGGGGCCUCCUACCAGUGGGACGUGCCCAGUAGGCAUCCUGAUCAGAUGUUGAACCACCUCAGCUGACCCCUUUCGAUGCGAAGGAGCAGCGGCUAUACUCAGAGCUCCCUUCGGUUGUCUGAGCUCCUCACCCUAUCUCUAAGGUUGAGCCCAGACACCCCACGGAGGAAACUCAUUUCUGCCGCUUGUAUCCGUGAUCUCAUUCUUCGAUCACUACCCAGAGCUCAUGACCAUAGGUGAGGGUUGGGACGUAGAUGGACCAGUAAAUCGAAAGCUUUGCCUUCUGGCUCAGCUCCCUCUUCACUGUGAACCUUUACCUCUGUGCUGAUCGCCAACACCUGUCUGCAGCCACCAUCGCUCCGUCUCUCCCACUCAACCACAGCGUAGGGCACGAGGGGGACGAACAAUCCAUUAAACAUAAACAACAAGGCUCUGGAGUCAUGUGGCACCGCCAGAAACAGCCUCCAGUCAACACUGCUGAGGGUCAGGUCUGAGGGCUGAGGACUGUGGACACACACACACACAAACACACACAUAUACACACACAGACUGAGCUCUGACUGAUCACUGAUGGACCUUUUGGAAACCAGCACACAUGAACCCAAACCUGAAGCAAAUAAAGCAGAGCAGCACUUGAGAAGAACAGACUCCACUUAGACACACUCACUGUGUCACUGCUGUCCUUCACAAGUUCAGCAUCAAACCUCUUCCUCUGGACUGGACUUGAAUGCUUGGUGUUUUGGAGUAUGCUCUUACGGUGUGGACUAACUGAAGUGUUUCGUGUGCACUCACACAACCACAGGACGGCACUGACAACUUGGUCUUAAUGCUCUUUGUGUUCUGAUGAAUAAGAAAAGGCCCCACUCCUCACAUUAACUAAGGUCUGUGUGUUGUCUGCUGGUUAGUGAAGCACAGAUCACUCUAUGGUGAGAACUACAAUCGACCCUGGCUUGAAACUUUAGCUUGUGUACAUUCUCUAUUUCAUAUCUAACUUUUACUAUGCUGUUGUUUUAUAUUAAAUGUUUAUUGAAUUCAAUAUUACGGUCAAACAGCGGUGUGAUUAAAUAUAUAUUGACCGAUAAAUAUUAUCAAAAGAAGACUGUAAAGUACCAUAGAACAAUCAAAAGGGAUGAAAUAUAUCUUUAUGUAUUUUUUGCCUUUAGUGAGGCACAUGGUGCAGAGUUUCUGGAUUUUGUGACGCGGAAAUAAAGCUGGUUUGAGUGUUG